UACGUAGGGUGCGAGCGUUGUCCGGAUUUAUUGGGCGUAAAGAGCUCGUAGGCGGUUUGUCGCGUCGGCCGUGAAAUCUCCACGCUUAACGUGGAGCGUGCGGUCGAUACGGGCAGACUUGAGUUCGGUAGGGGAGACUGGAAUUCCUGGUGUAGCGGUGAAAUGCGCAGAUAUCAGGGGGAACACCGGUGGCGAAGGCGGGUCUCUGGGCC
rnacentral:rRNA from 1 species